CAAUCAUCGCCUUGGAAGCUUCAUCACGAUACUACUUUGCAUUUCUGAAGAGGGAAGAAGAAUCAAUGUGCAAAUUCAAUUCCAUGGUUUUGGAAGUCCCAUUGAGAACACGAUUCAUUUGUGCCGGCAUAAUGCUCUGACCGAGAAAGAAUUGAAGUACCACGCUGAGUAUUGUUAUCCCGAUAGUUCUUUCGUCUCAGUCCGUGUGUAUUCCCGGGCGAAUGUGCUCGUGUGGUCUCAGGAGUUGCGGAGGUCACGGCUCUGGGACAGCCGUUUCAUGGCCCUAUGCUGCAGGAAAAAAGCAAUGAAAGUGCCGUUAAUUUUUUGCACGGCGAGCUGCUGCAUACUAACCGGUCUCACACCAUUACCAACACCUUGCCCUUGUGAAGGCAGAUAUGGAUAAGGUUCUCAAAGCUGAUAGAAGAUUGAAACCACUCUAAUCCUGUGACAAUGAACCUGCCCCGGAAGAGAGAGCCCAGAGAAUUGCCAAAGCUGUCCGCAAACAGUCAACAGAAGUGAAGGAAAAUUGGGAACAACUGAAAAUCCGUGCGAGCAACUGGCAGAAACAGGUGGAAAAGGCGUUGGAGAAACUUGAAGAACUGCAGAAAGUUCUGGAUGAUCUUGAGGCUCAUGUGAUAACAGCUGAGGGGGUCCACACUGAUCGGCAACCUGUGAGUGACCUGCUUGUUGACUCAUUGCAGGAUCACUUGGAUAAAACCACAGGUAAGGACUAUCUUCAAAAUCUGAGAUUGGGUUUUGAAAGACAGCAGCCUUUGUUUUGGAGAGAUAAUGGGAACUGCAGAUGCUGGAGAAUGCGAGAUAACAACGUGUGGAGCUGGAUGAAGACAGCAGGCCAAGCAGCAUCUUAGGAGCACAAAAGCUGACGUUUCGGGCCGAGAACCACCUUCAGAAAAUGGGGAGGGGGUGCGGUUUCUGAAAUAAAUAGGGAGAGAGGGGGAGGCGGAUGGAAGAUGGAUGGAGGAGAAGAUCGGUGGAGAGGAGAGUAUGGGUACGGAGGCAGGGAGGGGAUAGGUCAGUCUGGGGAGGCCGGACAGGUCAAGGGAGCGGGAUGAGGGGAAAUA